rnacentral:misc_RNA from 1 species
AGAAGUGACAACAACUGAAGCAGCUAAAAUGUUAUCAGUGGAUAGAACAAAGUGAUGGUAAGAAUUGUCAGAAAGCAAAGGAAGCAACUCUGGAGAUGGCAAUUGUUUGCGUGCAAGAGCAUUGGAGGAAUAUUCGUCAGUCAAACGUAGCGAGAGACAGUGGAUGCCUUUCGGAAUGGAACUUGCAGCAAAGUGUUUAUUCAUCAGCUCUGCAAAUUUAGAUUCCCUGAUUUCCUUUUCAAAUUUCUCCAACAUAGCCCUCAGCAUGAAAGCAAAUGUUUUUGCAUCAUACUGGUUGCUCUUUAUUUCAGACACAAGUUGGUUAUAAGAAUCUGGGAGCUUUAGACCAUCUGGGAUUUCCUCUUUGUUCACUUGAUUGAGAAUCUUGUAAAAGUCUUUAACCAGCCUCCCUGAAUCAUCCACUCUACCCAGAAGCCUUGG